rnacentral:rRNA from 1 species
GAUCAUGGCUCAGGACGAACGCUGGCGGCGUGCCUAACACAUGCAAGUCGAACGGAUGGAUGGAACGGAGCCUCGGGCAAGGAAGAUUCGUUAGUGGCGGACGGGUGAGUAACGCGUGAGCAACCUGUCCUUAAGAGGGGGAUAACAACGUGAAAACGUUGCUAAUACCACAUAAGACCACAGUGCCGCAUGGCACAGGGGUAAAAGGAGAAAUCCGCUUAAGGGUGGGCUCGCGUCCCAUUAGCUAGUUGGUAAGGUAAAAGCUUACCAAGGCGACGAUGGGUAGCCGGACUGAGAGGUUGAACGGCCACACUGGGACUGAGACACGGCCCAGACUCCUACGGGAGGCAGCAGUGGGGAAUAUUGGGCCAAUGGGGGAAACCCUGACCCAGCAACGCCGCGUGAGGGAAGAAGGCUUUCGGGUUGUAAACCUCUGUCCCAUGGGAAGAAAAAAUGACGGUACCAUGGGAGGAAGCCCCGGCUAACUACGUGCCAGCCGCCGC